AGCGAACGCUGGCGGCAGGCUUAACACAUGCAAGUCGAGCGGGCGUAGCAAUACGUCAGCGGCAGACGGGAGAGUAACACGUGGGAACGCGCCCUUCGGUUCGGAAUAACUCAGGGAAACUUGAGCUAAUACCGGAUACGCCCUAACGGGGAAAGAUUUAUCGCCGAAGAAACGGCCCGCGUCGGAUUAGCUAGUUGGUGAGGUAAUGGCUCACCAAGGCGACGAUCCGUAGCUGGUCUGAGAGGAUGGCCAGCCUCACUGGGACUGAGACACGGCCCAGACGCCUACGGGAGGCAGCAGUGGGGAAUAUUGGACAAUGGGCGCAAGCCUGAUCCAGCCAUGCCGCGUGGAUGAUGAAGGCCUUAGGGUUGUAAAGUCCUUUUAACGGGGAAGAUAAUGACGGUACCCGUAGAAUAAGCCCCGGCUAACUUCGUGCCAGCAGCCGCCGUAA
rnacentral:rRNA from 1 species